rnacentral:rRNA from 1 species
GUCCACGCCGUAAACGAUGGACACUAGGCGUCGGGGGGAGCGACCCCCUCGGUGCCGUCGCUAACGCAGUAAGUGUCCCGCCUGGGGGAGUACGGCCGCAAGGCUGAAACUCAAAGGAAUUGACGGGGGCCCGCACAAGCGGUGGAGCAUGUGGUUUAAUUCGAAGCAACGCGAAGAACCUUACCUGGGCUUGACAUGCUGGUGUAAGCCGGUGGAAACAUCGGCCCCUCUUCGGAGCGCCAGCACAGGUGCUGCAUGGCUGUCGU